CUGGAAGUGCUUUCAACUUUCCACAAGAUUUCCAAGAGCAAGUCAUAGAAUCCUGUUGGUGUGCCUCUCAGCACGGUCUGCACAGAGCACUCCGCUGCUGGUGCUCAGGAGCUGCCAAGAUCACAUCAGAACAUACACUGGUGGGAAGUGGAAGCCACCAUCAAGGCGACUAUUGUAACUGGAGGCGUUGGUAUGAAGACGACUAAAGGCUACACCAUGUCAAACCCUCAAGUAGAAUUAUUGCCUUUCUUGCCUCAGUUCCCAGCUGUAUUAUGUCACCAAAUCACAUCACAGUGUAAUCAAAGAUGAAUAAAAUAUUUUUUUCUUUACCUUAAAUGCUUUUUCUGUCAAUUACAAUCAAAGGACAUGAUUUCAGGUCUGUCAGUUUGCAAGGCUCUUUCCUACUGAUGACUAAAGCCGUAAUGUGCUAAAUAUAAAAUGAAUCAGAAAAGUCUUCAAAUGAUUUUGCUAUUAAGAAGAAGAAUGUUUUUUUCCUCCCACAGGGGACAGAAAAGUAAUUGGUCUUUAAAGAAUGAAAUCAAAGAUUUUUUUUAAAAAAAUGACCCCUUGGUUUGUUUCCCUUUUAUGCCUCUCUUUUUUUCUGCUUUAAUUCUAAAUCUCUAGUUGCAACACGGAUUUGCUCUUCUGAGAAAAUAUACAUCAUACUCUCAUCAAAACGAUGAUUCUUUGUAAAUAUUUUAUUAGCCCCUUGUUUUCAUAUGUCCAUAACUUUCUUGCCACAUUACUGCCGAUUAGGUACCCUGUAAUAUUAGCAGUCAUUCAGCUAUAACCCAACUUCUAGGCAGGUUUCUGGCUUGAUUACAUUAUUAACCAUAAUCAAAAAAACAUUUUCCCAGAAUGAAUUUAGCUUGGUAGUUGGGAUUGCUUCCUUUGAUCUUCUUAGCGUUAUUUUACGAUAGGUUGCUCCUCAUUUACACUACAAAUGCUGGCAAAAAUGAAAGUGGUAUCUCUGCUAGCAAUGCCUGAUAAAAUAAAAUAACUGGUUCAGCAGUCUCUGCCA
rnacentral:lncRNA from 1 species